GUGGGGAGCCGGCGGGUUCCUGCAAUGGCGCUGUGGGGCAGGCCCCAGGCUUAGCCAUUUGGUGCAACAGCUUCAAGUUUUGCAAAAGGUGAAAUGCGGGGUGUUCACGCAAAGACACUUGAAGUACUGCUGCGUGCUACAUGGAGGACUCCAGUUAAUGGAAGAAGCCACUCGGAAGCCUCUCACUGACACAGAUGACACUACCCCACAAACCUGAGGUCCGAUUGAGAAAUAUGGUUGCGAUGAGGAGCUUCCAUGGAUCAUGGAAAAGUGUUUCUUGAACAAGAUUAAAAGGUGA